rfam:Glossina brevipalpis unplaced genomic scaffold Scaffold7, whole genome shotgun sequence.
ACGUAGUAAAUUAAUUGCAAAGCAACCUCCGCGAAGUAAUACUUAAGGGUAGUCCGGCGGAGGAGAGUGGUAGACGAAGUGUGUGAGGGGUAGAUUUAAUACGUAGGCGCCAUGGAUGGCGAAUCGUGCAUGCUAUUGGCACGAGUUAGUAGUAUCUUUGAAGAUUCCCUCCUCCAGCUGCC